UGGCUUAGUGGUGUAUUGGCCAGCACACUCGGCUCGUAUUCGAGAUGUCCGUGGUUCGAGCUCCGGCGAGGGCAUUGCUCAUUCAUUCACGUCUACUGCAUCGAAAUAACUCUAAUGACUCUACAGGACCUAGAGGAAGGUAUAAAGUGGGCGUAUUGAAGGACAAGAAGAACAAAUAGGCAAUUCUGUGUUUUAUAGCUAUGCCAAUCAUGAAUGACGAUGCCAGUCAUACGAAGAUCUUAUAAUAUGAGCCACGUAUUGGACUAUGUGACGAUUAGAGGAGGCUGAAUGUACAUGGCUUGGACCAAUUUUUUGACAAGAUAUGGACAUUUAUGAGUUAAUACUUUAGCACAAUGGGAGCACUUGCAAUAUGUAGAUCUGGAAUUACGUAUGAGACGAUAUUAAUAGGGUAAGAGAGAAGACUCCAUCUUUUAGGUCUGUCUGAUCAU